rnacentral:rRNA from 1 species
CAGUCGCCGCGGUAAUACGUAGGGUGCAAGCGUUAAUCGGAAUUACUGGGCGUAAAGCGUGCGCAGGCGGUUAUAUAAGACAGAUGUGAAAUCCCCGGGCUCAACCUGGGAACUGCAUUUGUGACUGUAUAGCUAGAGUACGGCAGAGGGGGAUGGAAUUCCGCGUGUAGCAGUGAAAUGCGUAGAUAUGCGGAGGAACACCGAUGGCGAAGGCAAUCCCCUGGGCCUGCACUGACGCUCAUGCACGAAAGCGUGGGGAGCAAACAGGAUUAGAUACCCCCGUAGUCCCUGUCUCUUAUAC